rnacentral:lncRNA from 1 species
CGGGUUCGGGUGCUUUUCUCUCUGGGGCGCGGCCUCCCUGUUCUGCUCAGUUGGGGGUCCGUUCCCGGGAAGAACCACCACACCCCCCAUCCCGGCCCGCAGGCCCCAGCCGCCAAGUCGUUGCUGGGGAGGUGGGCGCAGGCCGCCCUCUCUCCGUGAGCCCACUCGCCACAACCCGCAGGGACCUGGGGGACUCGGUGGAUCCAACCACAGGAGACCAUGAGACACAGGCGGUCUCGCCGAGGCCUGCCGCUUAGAGCUGUCUCUCCUCCUCACGGGCCCCCUGGCUCCCUGCAGGCCUGGCCUCCUAUCUCCCUCAGGCCAUCAGCCCAGGGACCCCCAGCCCAGGCACCCCACCCAUGCUCUGAGCUGUGGGCCUGAAACCCGCCCUCCUAGCAGGGAGCCUGGCUGCGCCCCAGGCCGCUUCUGCUUGGAGCUCCGUGGAAGGAAAUGCCCUCAGGUUCCCAGGCACUGAGCCUCCCCUCCCGCUAACCCCAUCAGGGGUAUAGCAGCCCCGUGGUGCUCAGCCUGCCUCUCUCUGCCUGGGCAGGACCGUGGAGCCCAUGCGUGUCCUCUCUCCUGUCCCCAGAUGGAAGCCGGCAGGUGGGGCCCUAGCAGGGGACAUGCUCGACGUGUGGGUGGAUGAGGACCCAGUGGGGUCAGGUCUGGGGCAGCGGGACAGGGUCUCCAGGACGGGGCCUGGCUGCAGAUAGGCCGGAGAACGGCUGCUGGUUCCCUGAGGCCACUGGGGAGCCAAGAUGCAGUCCCCGAGGGGUUUCCAGGGAGCAGCCACUGGGCUGGGCAGCUGGGCGCAGGGGCAGAGAGAGCUGGGGCUGAGUCCUGGCCUGCCCCCUGGGGACUCCUGGGCUGUAAGGCAGGGGUGGGCAGGGCCUGGACCCUUGUUGGGGGGCCCUCCCUGGCUGUGGUCCACCUCAGGAGCCAAGGAGGCUGGGGGGCUGGUGUGGGCAGCUACCUCUGUUCCCCACGGGUCCUCAGGAAGGCGGCGCCACAGACUGAGGAGGCCCUGCUGGCCCUGGAGCUGUGUUCGGAGCCCCCACAGCCUGGCUCCUGGCUCUGGUUGCCGUGGGCGGGAGGUGGAAGUACAAGGAGAAGGAGUGUCCAGCAUUUUCACGAGUGCCACCGCCAGAGGUCAAGCUGAGGACAAGAGGGCAGCCAGGCACCACCCUGGCCCCAGGCAGACUCCCCAGGGCUCGCUGAAGGGCCGGCAGCCCUGGGCCUGGCAGCUCCCCUUGCAAGCCCCAGCUGGGGGCUCUGUCAUCCGGGAGGCCCUGGGCCUGACCUUCGCCGGCUGCCCCUGGGCCUGGAGGCAGGACACGAAGGGGCUGAUGGGUCUGUGGUCAGCCCCGAGCGCACUUUGCUGAGCUGUGGUCUUGCUGAGCCAGCCCACAGGCCCAGCGACUCCUGGCUUACUCAGCCCAGGCCUGAGGCUCCCAGGGAAGGCCAGGCCAGGCUGUGCAGGAACCUGCCUAUGGGGCUGGGCACCUGGCCCUCCAGGAAGGCCUGCCUGCGAGGAGCUGCUCUGCACAGGGGUCUCGACCCUCCGCUAGGCACCAGGAGCGAAGAGGGAGAGGCUUUGGGAAGGAGACACAGGUCAGAGAGCUUACAGAAAAGUCAGCCUCGAUGGACGGCAAGAUGCACCUGUCAGCCACGAAGGAGCCCCCCGAGGUGCAGAUCCCCACAUCCGCCGCACCCGUGUGGAGAAAACAGCGCUGGAUUUCCUGUCGUGGGUUUUGUGACUUUGAAAGCCGAGGCUGCUGAUUGGGAAUUAAAUCCCAGAGGACGCCGCUCAACACACUGGAAACCCAGCAGCUGCUGCUGUUCCCAGCAAUUUUUCUUUCUCUAAAUUGAAACAUCAUUUUCUAUUUUUCUUCUGACACAAAUGUGGUUUCAUCCUGAAGUGAAAAACAGCUACAGAGCAAUUUGCCAAAUGUAAGGGGCAGGCCCAGGUGAGCGCCGCUCACACGCAGCGAUCAGGGUCAGCGUGACGCGGUGGUAUCUGUCCUUCACGGGGGCUCCUCUGUGGGCCCGGCCUGGCCGAU